AUUGAACGCUGGCGGCAGGCCUAACACAUGCAAGUCGAACGGUAACAGGAAGAAGCUUGCUUCUUUGCUGACGAGUGGCGGACGGGUGAGUAAUGUCUGGGAAACUGCCUGAUGGAGGGGGAUAACUACUGGAAACGGUAGCUAAUACCGCAUAACGUCGCAAGACCAAAGAGGGGGACCUUCGGGCCUCUUGCCAUCGGAUGUGCCCAGAUGGGAUUAGCUAGUAGGUGGGGUAACGGCUCACCUAGGCGACGAUCCCUAGCUGGUCUGAGAGGAUGACCAGCCACACUGGAACUGAGACACGGUCCAGACUCCUACGGGAGGCAGCAGUGGGGAAUAUUGCACAAUGGGGGCAAGCCUGAUGCAGCCAUGCCGCGUGUAUGAAGAAGGCCUUCGGGUUGUAAAGUACUUUCAGCGGGGAGGAAGGGAGUAAAGUUAAUACCUUUACUCAUUGACGUUACCCGCAGAAGAAGCACCGGCUAACUCCGUG
rnacentral:rRNA from 1 species